UACGAAGGGGGCUAGCGUUGCUCGGAAUCACUGGGCGUAAAGGGUGCGUAGGCGGGUCUUUAAGUCAGGGGUGAAAUCCUGGAGCUCAACUCCAGAACUGCCUUUGAUACUGAGGAUCUUGAGUUCGGGAGAGGUGAGUGGAAUUCCGAGUGUAGAGGUGAAAUUCGUAGAUAUUCGGAAGAACACCAGUGGCGAAGGCGGCUCACUGGCCCGUUACCGACGCUCAGGCGCGACAGCGUGGGGAGCAAACAGG
rnacentral:rRNA from 1 species